rnacentral:rRNA from 1 species
AACGAACGCUGGCGGCAUGCCUAACACAUGCAAGUCGAACGAGACCUUCGGGUCUAGUGGCGCACGGGUGCGUAACGCGUGGGAACCUGCCCUUAGGUUCGGAAUAACUCCCCGAAAGGGGUGCUAAUACCGGAUAAUGUCUUCGGACCAAAGAUUUAUCGCCUUUGGAUGGGCCCGCGUUGGAUUAGCUAGUUGGUAGGGUAAAAGCCUACCAAGGCGACGAUCCAUAGCUGGUCUGAGAGGAUGAUCAGCCACACUGGGACUGAGACACGGCCCAGACUCUCAUGGGAGGGGGCAGUGGGGAAUAUAGGACACUGGGGGAAAGAGUGAUAUCCCAAUGCGGCGUGAGUGAGGAAGGGGUUAGGGUUGUAUAGCGCUCUUAUCCGGGAUGAUAAUGAGAGUACCGCGAGAAUAAGCGCCGGCUAACUCCGCG